UACAUACUGUGCGAACGUUAUUCGGAUUCACUGGGCUUAAAGGGUGUGUAGGCGGCUUGUUAAGUAGGGUGUGAAAGCCCCUGGCUCAACCAGGGAACUGCACUCUAUACUGGCGAGCUAGAGUGAGAUAGGGGGUGUGUGGAACUGCCAGUGGAGCGGUGAAAUGUGUUGAUAUUGGCAGGAACGCCGGUGGCGAAAGCGACACACUGGGUCUCAACUGACGCUGAGACACGAAAGCCAGGGGAGCAAACGGG
rnacentral:rRNA from 1 species